AGCCCCUGAUAAUAUAUACCUAAAUCAUGUGGUUGGCAAUACCUUGCAAUCCUAAUUCAGGCUUUGAGAUAGAGUUGUGCUUGUAAUUGGAUGUGUUAUUAUCCUGAUUAAAAUAUAGAGAAAAGUGCAAUCAAACUGGCCUGAAACAUGGGAGAGUUUUCUUCUGUUUUAUUAUUAAACUUUUAAUCACAUAUUUUGGCAUCUAUUCCUUUUGUUUGUGCAGAUUUGCUAGCCACAUCAGAAAGUUCUGGCCAAAACCUUUCUAGUUUGUCAAUCCUAAAUGACUUGCUCUCAUCCCUGUUACAAGUUGGUCAGCUGUAUGCUCAUCAGGGAGCUGUGAGGGAAGCUUUGAGGCAGUUUGUGGAUGGUGUUGCACUAGCAAGGCAAUUUUGCCUACCAUACAGACAUCAAGCUGUUACCAGAACAGGAAAGAGAAUAAAG
rnacentral:lncRNA from 1 species